UGGGGAAUCUUGCGCAAUGCGCGAAAGCGUGACGCAGCAACGCCGCGUGGGGGAAGAAGGCCUUCGGGUUGUAAACCCCUUUCAGUUGGGACGAAGCUUCGCCGGUGAAUAGCCGGCUGGAGUGACGGUACCUUCACAAGAAGCCCCGGCUAACUACGUGCCAGCAGCCGCUGUAAUACGUAGGGGGCUAGCGUUGUCCGGAAUCAUUGGGCGUAAAGCGCGUGUAGGCGGUCCGGUAAGUCCGCUGUGAAAGUCGGGGGCUCAACCCUCGAAAGCCGGUGGAUACUGUUGGGCUAGAGUACGGAAGAGGCGAGUGGAAUUCCUGGUGUAACGGUGAAAUGCGCAGAUAUCAGGAGGAACACCAAUUGCGAAGGCAGCUCGCUGGGACGUUACUGACGCUGAGACGCGAAAGCGUGGGGAGCAAACAGG
rnacentral:rRNA from 1 species